GUGUCUGGCUGCGGCUAACGGGCCCCGCGGAGCAGCUGCCCCGGGACCGUGGGGCCCAGCGCACCCCAGCGGCCCGAGCAGGCUGUCCCCGCCGGGGGCCGGGCCGGGCGAGCUACGUGCGGCUGCUGCAGAUCACUGGGAUGGCGAAGGAGUAACUCAGGGAGGUACAACUCUCUAGUGCCAGUUCCACAGCCAGUUGGAACCGCCAUGUGCCUCUGUGCUGCACACAACAGACUUAGAGUGCUUCACAGCUGUGGCUGGGGCAGAAUCCCCAUCACCUGCACCAAAGCACAGGGCCCCGAUGCCUGAGCUAAUGGAGAAUCUCUGCUAUCUGUUAGCAGUGCAGGGCCCAUGACAGCCAGGGAACUAUGAGAGGGCAGAAAAGGUGAAAUAUUGAAACCUGCGCAUCCCAUGACAGGCACCCUGGCACUACUCCACAGCUGCUGAGCACGUCUGUCACUGCUGCAGAGGAAGCUCGCAGCGCCAUGGCUCAGUGAGUCCAUAGAGCAGGGAGGCACAUCUGUCACUGCUGCAGGGGAAGCUCGCAGCAGAAUCCUUUCAGUGCUACCAGAGAGCCACUGACCACUUCUGCAGAGGUUUGCAGUGCUAUGUGCUUCAGCACUACCAUGGAGCUGCAGGCAGCUGUGCAACUGCUAUGGAGGAAACUCGCAGUGCUGGGUGUAUAAAACACACUGUAAAAUCUGCCUGUAUUUUUGGCAAUGACAAUUCAAAAGCUUUGGAAGCAUCUUCUCUAGGCUGUGAAAGCAGGUUUUGCCGGCUAAGGACAUGACGUCAGUAAUGUUGGGAGAAAGGCAACAAUAAUUUGACCUUCUUCCUUUAUUAAUAAUGGGCCUUUUCACAGAACACAAAAGAACAUUAGAAAACAUCAAACCAGUCAAGGCUAGAACAAGAUGUAGCCACUUCUUUGCUCUGCCGUUAGAUGAGUGCCUGGGGUGCAGAAUGUUGCCAAGUGGUUGACGUAUGUAAGGUAUGAGUGUGACAGUGCAGUCGAUUUCUUAUUGUGGAAUCUUUGCCACUUGAAUCUCUGCAGAUGUUUAAAUCUUUGAAAACAGUCUGUUGAGAAGUGUGGCAUUGAUUGGGCGUGCUGUGCCAGAGCCCCUGACAGUCAUUGCUUGAGUGCAAGGGAUACUCUGCAUUGGUUGCCAUCAAAACCAAAUAAAGAUAUAGGCCAACCACACCUAUGGUUCAAACUGU